AACGAACGCUGGCGGCAGGCUUAACACAUGCAAGUCGAACGCCCCGCAAGGGGAGUGGCAGACGGGUGAGUAACGCGUGGGAACAUACCCUUUUCUACGGAAUAGCUCUGGGAAACUGGAAUUAAUACCGUAUACGCCCUACGGGGGAAAGAUUUAUCGGGGAAGGAUUGGCCCGCGUUGGAUUAGCUAGUUGGUGGGGUAAAGGCCUACCAAGGCGACGAUCCAUAGCUGGUCUGAGAGGAUGAUCAGCCACAUUGGGACUGAGACACGGCCCCAACUCCUACGGGAGGCAGCGGUGGGGAAUAUUGGACAAUGGGCGCAAGCCUUAUCCAGCCAUGCCGCGUGGGUGAUGAAGGCCUUAGGGUUGUAAAGCUCUUUCACCGAUGAAGAUAAUGACGGUAGUCGGAGAAGAAGCCCCGGCUAACUUCGUGCCAGCAGCCGCCGUAAGAC
rnacentral:rRNA from 1 species